rnacentral:tRNA from 1 species
UGUGAUGUGCCUGAUAAAAGGAUAAUUUUGAUAGAAUUAAUAAUGUUUUUUACCUUCACAA